rnacentral:rRNA from 1 species
CCCUUAGAUGUUCUGGGCCGCACGCGCGCUACACUGAUACGACCAGCAAGUUUCUUUUGUUCCUUGGCCGAAAGGUUUGGGUAACCUUGUGAAAUCGUAUCGUGUUGGGGCUUGACGAUUGUAAUUUUUUGUCACAAACGAGGAAUUCCUAGUAAGCGCAAGUCAUCAACUUGCAUUGAUUACGUCCCUGCCCUUUGUACACACCGCCCGUCGCUCCUACCGAUUGAAUGUUCCGGUGAACACUCCGGAGCCGUGGUCUUCGUUCGGGGCAACUCGUUCAUGACCAAUGGUGAAGUUGUGUAAACCUUAUCAUUUAGAGGAAGGAGAAGUCGUAACA